UACGUAGGUGGCAAGCGUUGUCCGGAUUUACUGGGUGUAAAGGGCGUGCAGCCGGGCUGGCAAGUCAGAUGUGAAAUCCUGCGGCUUAACCGCAGAACUGCAUUUGAAACUGUUGAUCUUGAGUACUGGAGAGGCAGACGGAAUUCCUAGUGUAGCGGUGAAAUGCGUAGAUAUUAGGAGGAACACCAGUGGCGAAGGCGGUCUGCUGGACAGCAACUGACGGUGAGGCGCGAAAGCGUGGGGAGCAAACAGG
rnacentral:rRNA from 1 species